UUAAUGUAGCUUAAACUUAAAGCAAGGCACUGAAAAUGCCUAGAUGAGUCCACUGACUCCAUGAACAU
rnacentral:tRNA from 1 species